CAAUAGCGUAUAUUAAAGUUGUUGCAGUUAAAAAGCUCGUAGUUGGAUUUCUGGUAGGAGUGACCGUUCCGAACUUGAUUGUUCGUGUAUUGUGUUUUCUCCAGCCAUCCUUGUGGAGAACUUUUCUUGCAUUAAUUUGUAGGGAUUGGGACCCGCAUCGUUUACUGUGAAAAAAUUAGAGUGUUUAAAGCAGGCAAUCGCUUGAAUACAUUAGCAUGGAAUAAUAAGAUAGGACUUUGGUACUAUUUUGUUGGUUUGCAUACCAAAUUAAUGAUCAACAGGAACAGUUUGAGGAUAUUCGUAUGAACAUGUCAGAGGUGAAAUUCUUGGAUUUUGAUCAGACGAACUACUGCGAAAGCGUUUAUCAAGGAUGUUUUCAUUAA
rnacentral:rRNA from 1 species